CGAACGUGGGUAACCUGCCCAUCAGAGGGGGAUAACAUUCGGAAACGGAUGCUAAAACCGCAUAGGUCUUCGAACCGCAUGGUUUGAAGAGGAAAAGAGGCACAAGCUUCUGCUGAUGGAUGGACCCGCGGUGCAUUAGCUAGUUGGUGAGGUAACGGCUCACCAAGGCCGUGAUGCAUAGCCGACCUGAGAGGGUGAUCGGCCACAUUGGGACUGAGACACGGCCCAA
rnacentral:rRNA from 1 species